AAAUUUGAAAUCUGGCCCCCGGGUCAGAGUUGUAAUUUGUAGAGGAUGCUUUUGGCGAGGUGCCUUCCGAGUUCCCUGGAACGGGACGCCAUAGAGGGUGAGAGCCCCGUCUGGUCGGACACCGAGCCUCUGUAAAGCUCCUUCGACGAGUCGAGUAGUUUGGGAAUGCUGCUCAAAAUGGGAGGUAUAUGUCUUCUAAAGCUAAAUAUUGGCCAGAGACCGAUAGCGCACAAGUAGAGUGAUCGAAAGAUGAAAAGCACUUUGAAAAGAGGGUUAAAAAGUACGUGAAAUUGUUGAAAGGGAAGCGCCUAUGACCAGACUUGGGCCCGGUGAAUCAUCCAGCGUUCUCGCUGGUGCACUUUGCCGGGCACAGGCCAGCAUCAGUUUGGCGCGGGGGAUAAAGGCUUUGGGAAUGUGGCUCCCUCGGGAGUGUUAUAGCCCACUGCGCAAUACCCUGCGCCGGACUGAGGUACGCGCAUCGCAAGGAUGCUGGCGUAAUGGUCAUCAGCGACCCGUCUUGAAACACGGACCAAGGAGUCGUCUUCGUAUGCGAGUGUUCGGGUGUCAAACCCCUACGCGUAAUGAAAGUGAACGCAGGUGAGAGCUUCGGCGCAUCAUCGACCGAUCCUGAUGUUCUCGGAUGGAUUUGAGUAAGAGCAUACGGGGCCGGACCCGAAAGAAGGUGAACUAUGCCUGUAUAGGGUGAAGCCAGAGGAAACUCUGGUGGAGGCUCGCAGCGGUUCUGACGUGCGAAUCGAUCGUCA
rnacentral:rRNA from 1 species